rnacentral:rRNA from 1 species
UACGGAAGGCAGCAGUGGGGAAUAUUGCACAAUGGGCGAAAGCCUGAUGCAGCUAUGCCGCGUGUAUGAAGAAGGCCUUAGGGUUGUAAAGUACUUUCAUCGGGGAGGAAAAACAAAACUAAUAAUUUUAUUUCUUGACGUUACCCGAAAAAGAAGCACCGGCUAACUCCGUGCCAGCAGCCGCGGUAAUACGGAGGGUGCUAGCGUUAAUCAGAAUUACUGGGCGUAAAGAGCACGUAGGUGGUUUUUUUAAGUCAGAUGUGAAAUCCCUGGGCUUAACCUAGGAACUGCAUUUUGAAACUGAAAUACUAGAGUAUCGUAGAGGGAGGUAGAAUUCUAGGUGUAGCGGUGAAAUGCGUAGAUAUCUGGAGGAUACCUGUGGCGAAAGCGGCCUCCUAAACGAAUACUGACACUGAGGGUGCGAAAGCGUGGGGAGCAAACAGGGAUUAGAUACC